GAAUAUUGGACAAUGGGGGCAACCCUGAUCCAGCAAUGCCGCGUGUGUGAAGAAGGUCUUCGGAUCGUAAAGCACUUUCGACAGGGACGAUGAUGACGGUACCUGUAGAAGACGCCCCCGCUAACUUCGUGCCAGCAUCCGCGGUAAUACGAAGGGGGCUAGCGUUGCUCGGAAUUACUGGGCGUAAAGGGCGCGUAGGCGGCUUGGCCAGUCAGGCGUGAAAUUCCUGGGCUUAACCUGGGGACUGCGCUUGAUACUGCCAGGCUUGAGGCCGAGAGAGGGUGGUGGAAUUCCCAGUGUAGAGGUGAAAUUCGUAGAUAUUGGGAAGAACACCGGUGGCGAAGGCGACCACCUGGCUCGGUACUGACGCUGAGGCGCGACAGCGUGGGGAGCAAACAGG
rnacentral:rRNA from 1 species